rnacentral:rRNA from 1 species
UACGUAGGGGGCAAGCGUUGUCCGGAUUUACUGGGCGUAAAGCGCGCGUAGGCGGAACGAUCAGUCCGGUCUGAAAGCCCCGGCUCAACCGGGGAGGGUGGCUGGAAACUGUCGUUCUUGAGGGCGAGAGAGGAGGGUGGAAUUCCUGGUGUAGCGGUGAAAUGCGUAGAGAUCAGGAGGAACACCGUGGCGAAGGCGGCCCUCUGGCUCGACCCUGACGCUGAGGCGCGAAAGCGUGGGAGCGAACGG